rnacentral:lncRNA from 1 species
UGCUCUUUCCUAGCAAACCUAGGCUAAUAGAUAUAGAAAUGGGCAUUCGUGAAUAAAAGCAAUAUAGGAUAUUAAUUCAGGCGGUAGCCUACCCAUAAAAUGCCACUAUGCAGCAAAUGUUCGUGUAUAGUAUCCUAGCUACAACCCUUUGUUAAUAAAGUUGGCCACUUUCCUUUGGGGGGUUAGUAAGCAACCUAGACAUGCAAGAGCAAGAAAUGACCCCUGCAGCAGCUAAUUGCCUCCUUUGGAUCUAGCUAGUGAAGCGGACAUAUAUAUAGUACAGUAGUCCUGAAAUAAUUAAGAAAUUGAUCAUGCAUAUGACUCUGAACUAUUUGACAGUGACCACUUGUGAUUUACGUUCUACGGGCACUUAAAACUCAGUUGGUUACAUGCAAUCAAAACAAUUUCAGGUGUGUCGUCACACGCAAACAUAUAAGAACUAUACAUGAUUUAGGAAACAUUAUCUGUAUUAAGUAGACUUAAUUAAUUAUCAUCUCUUGUGAUACAUGUGCAUGCAUUUCAUCUCAUUUAAAAAAGAUACAUAAAAUUCUUUCUAAUUUAUAUUGUGUUAACUACUACUCUCUCCGUCCGACUUAAAUUUUUUCCCAAAUAUGGAUGUAUCUAUGCCCAAAAACCGUUUAGAUACGUGUAAUAGAAAUUCACUUAAUAUGGGACGAAGUGAGUAUAAAGAUUUCUUUAUUUUCAUUUAUGGAUAACCAAUCCAUUUUCCAACAUAGUUUGGAGAUUUUACCCAAGAAAUGGGUACAUAAAAUGAAAAGAUCGGAACAUGGGAAUAGAUCUUUAAUUAUACUAAUACUGACUACCCAUUUCCUUUGUUGUGAUUUCUAAAAUGGCAUACCUAUACAAGGGUUCAAGUUUCGAUCUAUAUUUGCGGAGUGGAUCAUCCCUCUCGAAAACGCAGAUUUGAAGUUGUCCAUAAUUUACUGAGUACUCGGUAUUAGUUUGCUCCAAUUAGAAAUAGUGUUAAUAUGCCGAUAUGAUACAACACAAUUCCCAUCAAAUACUAUUUGAUUGAAGUUGGAGCUUUCUCCUUGCAUUGAUUCAUUCCAUCCGAAGCAAACAGAGCAACGACCGAGAAACUAACUAAUUAAACAGCAAGAAUUAAAACAUGGAGAGAUUGAACAAACACACUGAUACAUAUGUGAAGGAAGGAAAAGAGAGCGGACAAAGACACCUAAUUAUAACCUCAAAAAAAAGACACCUAAUUAAGCAGGAGUAGUAGCUAGAACUAGAAAGCCGGCGGUGGCGGCCGGAAGGAAGCAAAGACAUCAUGCUGCGGCAUCUGACCGUUUGGGAUCAGGUUGGGCGGCAGGCUGCUGUAGAAUGGCAUAGACGCGGAGUCAGGUGGCAGCCCGCCACCCAUCACGGCGCCAUUUCCUCCCGCACCCGGAGGCGGCGGUCCUUCCGGCAACUGCUGCAUCCCAUCGGACCCAGUGGGCACCGCGUCACCUGUAGCUGCUGCCAGCUCUUCAUCGACCAGCGGGAGGCGCUCGUAGGUGGCGUUGGAGAAAGUGGCCGCGACGACCAUGAUGGGGCCCGAGGCCACGAGCUCCCCCACGACCGUGCCCCCGACGACCUGGCCCUGCCCGCCCGCGAGGUACACGGCGAGCCCCGUGGCUCCCGGAGGGCACGGGGACGGGAGGAAGGCCCCGGAGAGGGACAGGAUCUCGAAGCGGCCGUGGAGCGUGACGACGGCCCCAGGCGGCGCCGCGGGCUGGCGCAGCGUGACGUUGCCGACGACGCCGCUGCCGGACAGCACGGAGACCCCCCGCUGCCGCCGGCGCGCGAACGUGGCCACGGCGUCCAUGAUGUCGGCCCCGCUGGCGAUCUCCAGCACGUGCGACCGCAGCGUGUUGGGGCUCUCCCUGGUGAUGAUGAUGGGCGGCUUGGGCUUGUUCUUGGAUCCCGGCGGCCUCCCUCGCGGCCUCCUCCCCGAAGACGAACCCCCUCCGCCGCCGCUGCCGCCAGAGGUGGCGUUUGGGGUGGGAGAGGUUUCGCCGGCGCCGGCAGAGGGGGAAUCUUGGCCCUGGGCGCCGGCGCCGGAAGAUUCGUCGUGGUGGUUGUUGUUGCUACCGCUGCUGUUUGGUGUCGUUGGGGCUUGCUCUGCCAUGACGCCGCUCCCGCCGAACUGCUGCGCCAGGUGGUUGCCGAGGUCCAGGCCGUGGCCGCCCAUGCCCCCUGCCCACCACGCCAUCUCCUAACCUUCCGACCUCGAUCACGCACGCACCUAUGGCUUUGCUUGUCCACCAGCGUACAGAGUGGAGUGCGUGAGGAAGAGAGUACUAGGGAGGGACGGAGGUAGGGGAUCUUUUCUCUCGGUUCCUUUCACUGUCUAUCUCGCGGCUGCUUUUGGGGCUCUUUUUUCUCCGUAGGCUGGGCAGGGAGCCGCACCUGCCCCUGAUGGCCUGAUGCCUGACUAUAGUUGCUAGGAGUAGUACUGGUGCAAGUACUAGUAUUUGGCUCUCUUCUCUUUUCUGGUUUGCCUUUUAUUUUCCUGCGCUUGUUCGUUUUGCAUGCCCUUUUAUGUUGCUCACUUUGCGUUAGGGAUGAUCUAACAAAGCAAUAGCACUAGUAGUACUAGAUUCUCCUCUCCUCUCCUCCAUUGUUGCUUGGAACCUUGGAGUAUUGCUAAGCUCAUGAAGUGGGGAACAGCGAAUUCACGAUCGAUCCAAUCUGCUGGUUGGGGGCAGAUCAGAUCAAUCGAUUGGUUGAUCAUCGGCACGCACAGGGUCUAGCUGAGGCAGCCUAGCUAGCUCCUUUUGUGGUUGUAAAUGAAACUGAACAAUUAAGGACGAGUAAAUUGGGCAAGAAAGGCCGGAGCGGGGAAGUCAGCUUAUAGCUAGGCGAUCGAGCCUCACAUGCAUAUAGAGGGCAAUUAAUUACUGCGGCUAAGGAACCUUGUCACAUCUCUAUCGUGCUACAUCUGCAGAUUGCGCGCGGUGCCAGUCGUAAUAAUUGAACUAAAUAAAUCAACCAGCUGGUUCUCAUGUUGACAAGGAAAGCUCACAAUAAUAAAGCUACGCUAAUCAGAAAAGUCAAGCCACGAACAAACAACAACAACACUUGCCCAUUGACAGUAGCAACAACAUGUGUAGCAGUAGUGGGAGACAAAUAAAUUUAGUACCAUGCACGGGUGCAUUGUAGGUUUGGUGGAUCUUGGCGCCUGGCCUUUCCCUGUCUGUCGUACAUGCAAAGGUAGUAGGAGUACUUGGUUCACGAAGCAAACAUUUCCAUCCCAUUUUAGGGCCUGUUUAGAACAAAUGAAAACUGUAGGAAUCUUGAAGGUUUGGUUUUGCUGCAUGUGAAACAAAAAACUUUAGAGUUCGGUUUAUUUGCAAAAAAAAGAAGAUUAUUUUUACAGUAUUUUUAAUCUUAGAAUUUUUUUUGGUAUGGGUAACAUUCAUUUUACAGGAAUAGACAUCCUAGAUUCAGGCCUCAGUCGGGUUAAAGGAUUUUGAGUGGAUUUUCAUACUCCCUCCGAUCCAUAUUAGUUGUCGAAAUAUUACAUAUAUCUAGGCGCUUUUUAAUCAUAGAUACAUUCAUAUUUGGAUAAAUUUGAGACAAUUAAUAUGGAUCUAAGGGAAUAGUAAAUCCAAUGGAUCGAGAAUUCGAUAGGAAAAUCACUAUAGAGACAUUCGUUUGUAAGAAACAAGCAAAGUGAGUCCGUAGGAAUCUCAUUGAUUUUCUCUGCUUUUAGACAAAACUGAACAUUAGGUUCAAUUUGUUUUUUUUUUCCGGAGGAAUGGGCUUGUACAAUUUCUUAGGAUGGCAAUUGUUACCCUAUCACAACCCUAUGUUUCUUCGUUUUUCUAUGUUUUAUUUUCCUCCGAAUCUAAUAAGCUCUCGUAAGGAAACGUCUAAAUUGAUUUUGACUCUUAAGGAUACUUAACAUUAGAUGAGAUCGAAUGAAAAUUUCCUAAGGAUUUAUAUGGGCAUGACAUGUCAAUUCCCUACUUUCCCUGUUCAUGUGACUUCAAAUCCUGUAAACCAAAUAAAUCAUAGCAGUAGAAAAGGUAGAGCAUUGGGAUGUCAUGACACUUCAAUUCUUAGGUCAAUUUGGACACAAUCCUUAAAUCUAUCAUCUCAGUUCCUAUGAAAGAAAUGCUACACAUAGAAAAACUUUCUUAGGUUUGAAAUCCUGUAAAAACCCUUUGUAAAUCUUACAAACUGAAUGAGCCCUUAGGGCUGUUUGGAACGAAGGAAACAACAAUACUCACUCCGAUCCAAAUUACAUGUCGCGGUUUUGUCUACAUAUGUGCGUAUCUAGAUGUCACGGGUUUGUCUAGAUACGCAUGUAUCUAAAUAUCUAGACUAUGUGUAUCUAGACAAAGCUGCAACAAAUAAUUUGGAUCGGAAGGAGUAUCAAUUUCUUUCGUGUUUGUUAUGCUUUUGAAAGGAAACAAAACAUUAAGCUAGACCCAAGGUUUCUUUUUUCCAUUUACUUUGUUUUCAAAAUAUGUAGGUUUUUUGGAACGGGGUGUAUAUUAAUUAACGAGUAGAGAGAGUACAAUCGGAAUCGACCUGGCUCAUCACGCAAGAAGGCACAGUGCCGAAUAACACACCACCACUCGACACACUAGCGGCAAACCUAGCAAUCUCAUGAGCAACCGAGUUACCCAAACGAGGAACAAAACCGAAGCGGAUACCUGGAUAAAAAGUAUUAUUGUGCUGUAGAACCGAAGCGGAUACCUGGACAAAAAGUAUUAUUGUGCUGUAGAAUAUCGACAAGAAUCGGUCGAAGGGAUUUGCCGAGGGGCAUUGCAAAGCUUUAAACCUUUCCAAGAUCAACGGAGCGGGGCAAUGAUCUUUCGACGCCUUUAAACCUUCGAGACAAGCUUCCGCCGUAACUUUGACCUGUGCUUUGGCAUGGAACAACUCCGACCUGAAAUUCGCUUCCAAUGGAAAUCGAAGCCAAGACCAAAAGGGUACUACUGGAGCCUGUAGCCUGUUCGCCUCAUAUUUUUAUUUCCACUCCUUUCAUGUCCUUUGUUCCCUGCGUUCCAAACACGUCCUCAACCGUUUAUCCCCUCUUGUUCAUCUCGGAGCAUCUCUCUCUUGUUGCGUGCUGUGUGAUGGAUACGAACAAGAGGGAUCGGAGACAGGGAGACAGAAACCGGCGUGGGACAUAGAAUCUCUUGUUGCGUGCCGUGUGAUGGAUACGAACAAGAGGGAUCGGAGACAGGGAGACAAAAACCGGCGUGGGACAUAGAAACUGUAACAGUGCUAGUACUGAAGUAGUACUAUUUUCCCCAUUCCUUUCUAGGGAAAGGGCGAGCCGGGGCGUGGGUGUGCAGCGGUGAUGCUGGCUAUAUCUUAUUGUUUCUUGCUCUCGGUGUUUGGGAGGAGCGUGUUGGCCGUAACGUGCGCACGGGGAAGUGGGGGCUGGGAUGGCAAGAGCAGAGCCACGCCAAUUUCCAUGGUUUUGACGAGCGCCAGGUGCGAGUAUGGAUGGCCAUGGCUAUCCGAAACCCGAUUACCCGAUGGGUCUAGACCCGAAUGGAUGCGGAUCUGAGAAAAACCCACGGGUUCGUAAAUGGAGAAAUUUCAGACCCGUCGGGUUUGGUGGGUCCAGGUCUGAUAGAGCCUUACCCGAACCUGAAAACCCGCAAACCCGGUUCGGAUUGAGUUACUGAACAUUUGGCCAAGCCCAAUGUAUUGCUAGGCCUUCGGGCCUUGGGCCGAUCCGAUCUAACUUGGGUCUUGCUUAUCGUUCAGUGGCAGAAUCUGUAGCACACAAGGGAAAUUGGAACGUUGUGUCUUUGAUCCUUUAGUACUACCUCGGCUAGGGAGGAAAGAAGAGAGCUCUACACGCCUAUAAAGACACCCAGUGGCUUCACAUUCAAUGAUGGUUAGCCGAGCUCUCUGCACAAUUGCAUUGCGCGGCUCAAACUAAUUGAACAAAUAUAAAUUAAUAUUGAAUAAAUAAAAUAAUACUAUAAUAAGUGAAAUAUUUUGUCGGGUCGGGUAUACCCGCGGGUCUACCCGCCCUGCAUCGGGGCCGGGUCUGGUAAUAUUUUGGACCCGGUACCGGGUCCGGGUUGCGCGUACCGAUUUGGUGGCCGGGUACGGGUCCGGUAUGGCCAUACCUGGACCCGUUGAUCCUGGGUGCCAUCCAUAGGUGCGAGGAAACAUGGUCGAGCGCGCCGGCUUCAUCAACCAAAGAUGGCCGAGUUGAUUUCGUGCGAACGUGUUUGCCGAAGGAACUUAUGGCUUUACACAUUGCCGGACUAUCGCUUGUACGCUUAUCGCUGCCCAAGUUGAUUUUGCGCUAACGUGUUUGUUAGGUUUAGUCGCACAAUAUAAAUUAUUAAGCGUGGGGGAGUACAAUUUGGCUCAGUUUUUUUUUUAAUCUUCUCCAACAAAUGCUCCCACUUAGCUUUCUGGAAAAGCUGAUACCUAAAUUUGGUUAGUCUUGCAAACUAAAUUAGUCCAAACUAAUUUGAAAGACUAACCAAAUUUGAAAAUCUUGACUUGAGAGCGUCGAAGCCCACAAAAAAACUGGACUAGGCCUCCACAAUGUGCCAAAUGCUAAAUUUGCCACCUCAUAUUAUUUAGCAGCGGUACUAAAAGUAUCAUUUCAACAUAGUGUAGUCAAAGCCUGUCGCACCAGUGGCACUCGGAGUACCACCGUUGCGCGACGCGUGGGCCCCGUCUCCGAGUUCCCGGGAGGACUUCGUCCCGGGCAGCAGUCAUGAGCAGCCCGGCAAGCUACCAGCCUGGAAGGGCUAGCGGGGCUUCGGGGAAUAUCGCCGCCUGGAUGCCUCCCGGGAAGCCACUUGCCGGGAGAGGGGUUGUCGGGCGUGUCGGGCCUGGGUGCCUCCCGGGAAGCCAGGAGGAGGGGUUCCCGGGCGCAGGCUCCCCCCGCGAGGGAGGGGGCCCAACGGGCAGAGCAACAGCGCCACGUGGGCGUGUGCCAGGCGUCGAGUGCGCAGUCUCGGCAGGGCCAGGAGUGAAGCGCACGGCGCAUUAAAUGAGCCAACAGGAGGGUCAUUACCCGUCCAAAUCAGGUGAACAAUGGCUGUCCAAUCCUAUCUUUAGGGUUUUAGACCCCUAGCAGCGGAGGUGGCGUCCAUGCACGCCACCAGCUCACCGAGGGGGAGUUGCAUGUCUCCCUGAUCGACACUUGUAAUAUAUGCGCCGCGGCACCUGUGGUAUCCCCUUCAGUAUAAAAGGAGGACCCCCGCCAACGGUCAAAGGGUUCGACGGUUCCACAUUUUUUCUACGGUUCGUCGAUCACGCGGCUGGACAGUUCCACAAUUUGACGGGUAGAUGGACUCACACUUAGCCAUUAGCAGUACCCUAAAGCAGUGAAGAGCACUUAGCCAAAAAGAGAACGCCCGGGGACCCUCCCCCCGGCAACGUGUAAACACUUGAUCUAUAGUCAAUACAAGUUCAGACAAGCAGGACGUAGGGUUUUACAUCUCCGGGUGGCCCGAACCUGGGUAAAAAACGUGUGUGCAUGUGUUCUUAGCUUGCAUGCAUCCUAAGUACAUUACUUUGCAGGUUACGUACGCCAUCGGCCAUGCCGGCGAUCGCCGGAGCGAUCCCCGACGCCCCUGCCGAACCUAAAAAGGGGGCGUGACCGCACGCCCCCGGUGUCGGAGCCCAGUGCGACGACAAAGCCAAAUUUCUCUAUCUAUGGGACCCACCAUUGUUAAAACUCAUAUAUAAAAUAUACUCUCUCUCCUGCCUCAUCUACUUUCAGCUAAUAGGGAAGAAAGUGCAUGGAUAAAUAUUGUUUUAUAUUGUUUGAGGAAUUUGGCACCAGGAGCAAGUAGGUGAUCUGGUUCUAUCUUUUCUUAAUUUGGCAACCCCUCCACACUGGUAUGAAGUGGUGCCAAAAGCUAAAUUUUUAGUUUGGUACCUCAAUUUGGCACACACUGUGGAGGCCCUUACAAGGUGGGAGCAAACCUCACUCAUUAGAUCAGUCUUUUAGAUGGAGUUAGGCUUGGCCUUGACAGUUGUGGCUGUGGGCUCUGUGUAUGACGAGUUGGGCAGGAAGUCGGCGGCGACACACAUACACCAACUGCCGAGCAAAACCACAUGGCAUACCAAUGAUUUGAUGAGUGUUUUUGGCGCACUCAGCAAAGUCGCCACCAUGUGUCUCGUUUACCGCAGUUGUCGACGCCACCAUUUGCCAAGUGCUUUUAUGAUGACAACGGAGUUGACGGUGUCGCUGUUUUCCCAAUCAUUUUACGAAAACACUCGCCAAACCUCUUCUCACUUGCUGAAUGCCUGGUGGCAGCUGCAGGAAACGUCACAGAAGAAGCUGAUAGGUGAUGGUUUUCAUCGGCCGUCACCCAUCUUCCAAAAUCAGUGACAGCCGACCGCUUGCCGUCACUCAUCUUCCUUGUUCGAUGACGGUAUCAGUUUUGCCAUCACUUAAUUUGACGAGGAACCGUGAUGUAUCAAAUGGGGGUUGAAUGAAUUAGAAUUGUUCUGCAAAAAAAGGUUGUAGCGAGGGUCAUACCCUUGACCUCCUGUUCGCCCAGUGUUCAAUUGUUGAAUGUUUUGCAUAACUGGCACCUUAUCUAUAAAAAUAAGAGGAAACAUAAAUGUGAAUCAAUUAAAUGUGUCUUAUUGUAUUCCGAACUAUUUCAUCAUCUUGCAGCAACACUGCGGGCGCUAGGUACAACAACAUACAGCGGCAAUACCACACGACGGUGUACUGUACGGCAAGGCUGACGGCCAGCGAUCGAGGAGCGACGGCUACACGCGGAUGUCACCAAGUUGACGCGCCGACACAAGCGCAUCAAGGGCGGCGAGGUGAGGGGCCUGACGACAUUGCGCAAGGUCAAAGACGCUUGGAGAGGCAACAACACGGCAUGGCGAAACACGUGGUUUUGGUUUGUUGGUAUUUUAUUUGGAUUCGGCAUAUUAAAAUAUGCAACGCUGAAUAUUCUUGAUAAUGGUGCAUCUCGUUUGCAUUCCAUUUUGAAUUUUAUGGAUUUUCACCUUUUAUUUUAUUUAUUUAUUUUGAGGGAAAGUUUCACCUUUUAUCUUUUUUUUAGCGAAUUUCACCUUUUAUCUAGAAGGAAAAACCUUUUUCUUCCUUUUCUUGAGCCGAAAGCCUGCUUCUUUUUUUCUUUCAUUUUUCCCCUUGGGCCGUACGUCCCCUUGCCUGGCUCCUUUCCUAUAUAUCGUGGGCGGAAGCCCUAGUCCAGCCCAGCACCAGGGCCACCCUUCGUCUUCCUCGGUCGAGAGACCCAGGAGGGUUGUUCUAAAAAAAAAAGAGACCCAGGAGGGCACGCACGCAUCUGCAAUUCCGCCGCCAUGAAUUAUCUCGCUCCCGACCGUUUCUCUCAAAACAGAAACAGCCAAAUGAAUCCCCAUCACCUCAUGAACCGAUUCAGGUUUUCAAUCGUCAGUUUCGUGCCUUUAAUCUCACACUAGAACGGACGCCCCGAAUGCCGGCUUUUGGUAUAUGUUUCCCGAUCUCCAUCCUCAGGCGACAAAUGAUGACUCCGAGAGCGUCACCUUGAGACUCUCCCUCUCUUCCCUCGUUACCAUAUUCAGAUUUUCGCCUCAAAACCAUUGUAGAACCCGUGUCUUCGUCGUCUUCCUCGUCGGACGCCGCUGCCAUUCUUGAAGGUGAGACUGUUUGGGAAGCAACCGUUCUUUUUCUUUCUCUCCCUUUCUCUUCCCCCUUGAGAACCGCUCGGCUCCUCUCUGCCUCGGCUCCUCUCCUCUUUCCCUUCGUCGGCCUCACCAGCUGGAGUGGGGAUGGGAGAGGAGGCCGGGCCGCUGGCGUUCGUCGUAGUUGUAGGAUUUGGUGUAGGGCUAGGUCUAGGGUUGCCUUAGGGGCGUUUGGCUUAGUGCCGUUAUCAAGAAGCUUUUCUCUACUGCUCCCGAGCGGCGACACGAGGAGGCCAGCCAUCUUUUCCAUUCGUUCUUCAUGGUGGAGGACGAAAAAAAGGUUCGGAUCUGGCGAUGGCUUCGUCAAUAAGCUCGGUGGUGCUUCGUUUUGCAGUGAUUUGGCUCGUCCUGGCCGUCAUGGUGGCGGUAGAAGGGCUGAUUUGCCUGGAUCCGAAGCUCCAUGGGAAGAAGGUGAAGCUGCGUCUGCGUUUCUUCCUCGGAGCUCAUCCCUAGCGGUGCCAACAUGGCUGUUGCCAUCUAGCCGCUGUAUCCAUUGGCUGUUCGAGCGGCUGCUCCACAAGCUGGUGCUGACUACUAUCUCGCGUCUCGGCUUUCUCUUCCUCCCGGCUGACAUGCCAAAAGGGAGGAUCUUUGGCUCCGGUAUGGCCUCUCACGCCUACCUCGUCCCAAGUGGUGUCGUCCCCGGUGACGAUGCGGAAGGACGGUGGAGAAGGACUUGAUUGUAAUCAAUAUCUUCCUCUUUGGGUCCUUUUCAUAAAAAGCGAGGACUAUGUUGUAUUUUCUGUUUAUCCUAGGGUCCUCUUUGUAAAAUGUAAUCCCACCGCUCUUUCUGGGUCCUUCGGGACCCUUCCCUUGUUCAAAAAAAAAAGGGUGAGACCGUUUGAUAGCUCUGCUCACCAUUUCUUCCCGUGAGGGAACUCACGUAGUCAUCUCCUAUCUUCUUGACAAGGUUUUGCAUCCAUCCGAUGCUGCUGGCCUCGUCAUCCCGAAGCCAUGCCGCUGCAGCACCGCAGCCGGCUGUUUUCGGCGAACAAGGACGCCGCUGGACGCGCUUCCGCGCCAGGAGCAUAGCCGCGGGGUCCACAAUCCAACGCUCCGACCUGCAACUGGGAUCAACGACCACGUGGGACAAAUUUCGUCCAUCUUCAUCAACUUCUGCGGCUGCCUUUGAUUCCGUUGUCACCUUAGGUGAGUUUCAGUUCAUGCAGUCACUGAAAUGUCCUGCUCUCCAAUUAUUCACGUUUGCUACGUGCUUGUUGAAGCCAUGACGAUCCCGACCAACAUGACCAUGCCAUCCCCAACCUAUUCUUUGUUCCUGUGAAUUCCGUUCAUGUCACUUCGUGCCAUGCCAUCUUGUUUCUACAAGUUCAGAACAUCAAACAAAAUCUCGAUCCGAUGACCGGAGCUCUGACAACAUCAAUUCCAUCCUGUCAAUGACCAACAUCGUCAUGCUCCUACAUGUUCACUCCAUAAUUUGAGCCCAACCCUUGCAUAGGAAAGUUCCCUUUUGACUUAGAGACCCUCUGGUUGAAUCAGAUUCCAAAUCCAAUGGGCAGAAAUUAAAAUACAUAUUAACCGAUGCAAAUUCGAGUCAAAUUCAUAUACAAUCUGAAUUGUGUUAAUGCUUUUGAGCAUACCUUGUUUUGUAUAGUUUAUAUACAUGCAUAGGAGUUGUAUGUCAAGUUUGUAGAAUUGUCUCACAUGCUUAGCCAUUUAUUAGAUUUGUAAACUAGCAUGUAUUUUUGUAUUAUUUAUUUAUUCAUGUCCAUGUACUUGCUUUGAGUUAUUGUUGUGAUACUUCUGUAUAUGACAUAUAUUGUGUGUGUGCUGCAUGUAUGGUUACAGCGCACACGGUGUAAGUGGGGUUAGAGGUAAGAAUUUAAGAGCGAUCAGCGUUCAAUUGUUGGACGGACAAUGUCGCCAGUAACAAUAGGUUACUGACGGGUUCCUCGCCGGCCAAAGGUGAGUUUAAGACCCUUCAGUAAUGCGGUGCUCCAAAGAGUAGAUAAUGGUUGGGAAGGUAUAUAAGUUUUCAAAAAAAUUGAAUUUUUCAUCACAACAUCAGAGCCAUUAUAUAAGAUGAUGAGAUGAUCGAACGGUGCGAUAGAAUAAACACGACUUUAUGCGUUCAUGCAAAAAGAAAAACCAGAAAUUUCAGUUCACGGAUGGACAUAUAUAUGUCUGAACUCUUGUUUAUGUUUUACCGGCUUACCGCAAGUACAUAUAGUUGUAUUUUUUUUAUCAUCUAAUACUAUUGUCACGAUAUUGCGGUAAAAAUUUCAUGAUUUUUUAGAACUUUUGAAACCCUUAACUGGCGCCGGGAUUAUCUUAAGUACCAUCCUUCUUGUAUACAUAUUGAUAGUACAUGAUAGAUACAAAUUCUCGCGGCAUAUAUGGGCAAAACCUGCAGUGCAGUUGGAGCCCUGCUUUUAUAAGGACGGAGAAAAGAAGGAAAACUAAUCCUGGUUUUUCUUCUGAGUCUUUGUGUCCUUGUGUUUGAUUGUACUACUACUACUGCUACAAACCACCAUUGGUGAUUGUGUGAUGGAAUCUUCAAGGCUCGGUGAUCAAGAAGUAAAGGUAAACGACAAUCAGGGAAGGAUCGUCUUGAGCUUGUAAUUCCUGGCGAAUGCGCUGUACACGGCGAAGUUAAGUAUGCACAUGACAGCCAUGCUCCAGAAGAAGUAGUCUAGGUGGCCCUGGUUAAGGUCAUCGGAUAUCCACCCGGGGCUGCCCGGUUUCACCGUGAUUGCCGCCAGGACAGCGUAUAUGAGCGAGCUCAUGUAGCUCCCAAGAGCAAUGGUGAGCAGCGCAAGAGACGUGCACAUACUCUUCAUGGAGUCCGGUGCCUCGCCGUAGAAGAACUCCAGCUGCGCGAUGUAGCAGAAGACUUCGGCGCCUGCAAGUAAGAAAUACUGUGGCAGCUGCCAGGCGAUGCCAAUCACCUCGCCUGUUGCCACACUGUCGAGCCGCUUCAUCUCCACGAGCGCUGCAACGGCCAUGGCGAGUGCCAUGAGGACGCGCCCGGCACCCAUCCGCUGCAACUGUGACGGCUCCCAGUGGCCGUCAGAGGAGAAGUUAUUGAGAGCCGGCACGAUGAAAUUGCUGUAUAGGAGCACCCAAGCCAGAACACAGAGCACCUCGAAGGAGCUCAGGGACGCUGCUGGUAUCGGCACCGACAAGAUAUUUAUGUCCAUGGCGCUGCCCUGCAGGAUGAAGGUGCUGUUCAUCUGCGAGUAGGCGGCGGAGAUGACGAUGCUGGUGGCCCAUAUUGGUAAGAGCCGAAGGAGGAUCUUGAGCUCCUCCACCUGCGUCACCGUGCAGAGCGUCCAAGACGAGCUAUGUGCGUCCAGCAGCCUGUCCUCCAACUCCGAGUCAGAAAUGAUGGCCGCUCUGUCGAGAAAGCUGAACUCCGUCGUGUGCGCGAUCCUGGCAUGGGGAUCCAUGGAGUCGCCGCUGACAUCGUAUAGAUGGUCGGCGUCAAAGGGCAGCGUGAGGCUGACCUUUCUGAAUGCGGCAACGACCACCUGGCACAGGCUCUUGAGCGGCGUCCCGGUGGGCAUGCUGCGCUUGUACAUGGGCGUGGCGUACACGAAGCCACCGUAGGCCAGCGCAAUGCACAACGUGGAGAUCCCGAAGCCGAGGCCCCAGCUGACGUUCUGCUGGAUCCAUACGAUGAACACGCCGGACACAAUUGGGCCGAAGUCGACGCAGAGGUAGAACAAGCUGAAGAAGGAUCUCUUGCCCUCCUGGUCCUCCACACCGCUCACGUCGUCGAACUGCUCAGCCCCGAACGGCAGCAGAGAGGACCGCACACCGCCGCUCCCGAUCGCUACGAGGUACAGCCCAAUGAAGGGCAAAGUAGCGUUGCCCGUAACGCACGACGAGCCGGGUGUGCACACCUCGGCUGGCGCCGGCAUGAAUGCCGUCAAGGUGACCACAAUCAUUCCCUGGGAGGGAGUAGACAGAGUUAGCUUAUCAAGUCCAUUAACAAAUGAUCGAGGACUGGAUCGAGUUGCAUGUAUACUCACAAGGAUGUAGACGGCGAGGGAGACGAGGAUGGUGUUGUAGUUGCCCCAGAACGUGUCGGCGAUGAUGGCUCCAAAGAUGGGUGUGAGAUAGCUCGUGCCAAACCACGUCGUGACGUUGGACGCGCUCGCCAGGUUGCUGCCAUGGAGGACGGUCUCCAGAUACACCACCAAAUUAGUCGAGAUGCCAUUGAACGCCGUGCUCUCCAGACAUUCAAACCCUGCAGCAUUGAUUAAAUUUCUCAGUUACCUUAGUCUUACUACUAUUUCUCAGUUACCUGAAAUCUUACUACAAUUUCUCAGUUACCUAAGAUUUAAAACAAUUUAAGCAACUUCACAAAUAGAUUAUCCUAAAAAAAUGCUGUCUUUAAUUAGCAUGUCAUAUAUUCUGGGCCGAGUACAAAUUAAAAUUUUGAAACAUUGCCCUUACCUAGCACUACUGCUGGUGCCUUGCUACCCAUUUUCUUCUUGUCCUCCAGCAGUUCCACUUCUGGGGUCUCAUCUAGAACCCUUGGCCCACGACUCGGUUUUCUUUUGAACGAACGGUACGAGAUCUGUUUCAAUUUCAAUGUAGGACGUUACAACAUUGCGCCAAGAGAAGCGACUAAACAUUAAAGUAAAGAUGGGUUUUAAUCUGUUGCUCAAAUCUGCCAGGCUGAGAUACCAAAGUUGCAGCAAGUAUUUUUUUUUUUGACGAAACGCGGCAGCGCUACUUUUCAUUAAUUAAGAACGAAGAGAACAAAGCCAAGCGGCCGAAAUAGCUACAAGAGUUAUAGAGAAAUACAGAGCAACCGAAAAAGGCUUACACGACGACCAUCGCCACAACGAGGAACACAUGCAACGCAAGAGGAGCACUCCUAAAGCCAUCGAAAGACCACACAACACCGAGACAUUGCAACGCACACAAACAGCUCCUCCGCCACUCAGCUGUCAUCACCACGGCCAAACAAAGCACCAGGCCAACGAGUGUAGUGGCAUGGUCGAAGGACCUCUCCGCCGAGACCAAGUCGAAGGGCGUUGCGAAGCCGAGACAACACCACACACGAACCUUGACCGCCGCUGGACAACCCCGAGGAUUGCGGACAGAAACUGGCCAUUCACGCCGUCGAAAGGCACCGAGCAGUCGAGGCAGCAACAGGAGUGCGCGGCUCAUCACAAAGUAUGAAGCAAAGGAUCGAUGACGGUCGAAAACGUAAACCGAGAAGGCCACUUGCUGCGUCCACUAGAAACCGCCCGACCCGCCGAGAAAUCCACGGAUCCAAGACAACAUCUUCAAGAAGAAUGCGACACAGACUGCCGCCGCUGCCCGGUCCAAAGGACCUACGAUUUUCACCGGAUUCGUGAAAGGGGCCACAACAAUGCCUCGAAGGAGGGCUACGGCGCACGUAGGCGUCGCCAUUGUCAAGGCUGGCGGCCGCCGGUCUGAGCUUUCACCCGGCCCCUAAAAUCCAUGGCAGAGAAGGUGCUACUAGAGACAGCAAGGAGGGCGGUGGCCUAAGCCACACGCACGGACAGCCAAGGACGGCCAACAGACCACCACCGGGGGGCGCCACCCCAGACCCCAAAGCCGGCGAGCAGGGAGCUCACCGCCACCCGAGACGCCGCCAAGCGCCGGAUCCGGGCGCGAUGACCCAGAUCCAGACAUCUGCUGCAGCCCCGACCACCUGCCGCCUCCAGCAGCAAGUAUGAGUUAGUGGUUGCUAGCACACAUGAAUUCAAUCUCAAGGAAAACCAGCGCGAGAUAUUUGCAUGGCACGAUUCCUAACAGUGGAUCUAUUUAUUGCUCAUGAUUUUCAACCUAUGAAUGUGCUAUUUAAAUCUAGAACUAUGCGGAUAUAUUUACGACCACUAAUGCUGAUCGAUUAAAACAAGCGCUUGAUAUGUAUUGUCAGUCUUCUGGACAGAUGGUGAGUGAUGUGAUGCUAAAUCAUCAAAAAAUUCAGCCCUUGCACCUUGGUGGAAACGAAAGAACUAGUCUGUACUUCCUUGAACAUUUUAACAGAAUCGACUACAGACAAGUAUUUAGGACUGCCUCCACUUAUUGGUGUCCAUCGUACGGAUUGUUUCCAGCAUUUAAGAGAUAGAGUCUGUAACGGGUUAAAUGGGUGGAAGAAGAAAUUAUCUUUAGGAGGAAAGGAGCCAAGGAGGUCUUGCUCAAAGCAGUGGCACAAGCUAUUCCAUCUUAUGCAGUGUCUGUUUCUAAAUUACCAAAACAAGUAUGCAAAGGGAUAACUACUGCACAAUGUCCCAGUACUGGUGGGGUGAUGAAGAACACUAGAAGCAUAUGCAUUGGUUUGCGUGAUGGAAGAUGUGUAUACCUAAACAGAAGGGAGGCAUGGGUUUUCGUGAUCUUCAUUGUUUUAACCUAGCUAUGUUGGCUAGGCAGUGUUGGAGACUCUUGCAGGCGCCGAAUUCUUUACGUGUUUCGGUCUUAAGAGCUAAGUAUUAUCCUUCUGGAGAUCUUCUCAGUUGUGAUUUAAAGAAGGAUAGCUCUUUUACUUGGCAAAGUCUUUGGGAUGGAAUACUAGUCUUUUAGCGUGGACAUAUUUGAAGAGUUGGUGAUGGAACUAGCAUUAAUAUUUGUGAUGAUCCUUGGACUCCCAACAGCCCAGAUCGUGGAAUAAUGACGAGAAGAGGGACAUUGUCUGCACUAAGAUUUCUGAACUUAUUGAUGUUGAAAACAGAUGCUGGGAUGAGCAGGUCUUGCGUGAUCUGUUCUGGGAUGUUGAUGUUAACCGGAUUUUGAAAAUUCCUAUUGCUAGAACACAGAUGGAUGAUCUGGUCUUGUGGCACUAAUGCAAUUCCAAGCAUACCCAGCUGCAAUUGCUAGUUAAAUAUCUUCUUUUACUAACUUCUCCUUGUAGUCCUAGUUUCACCAACUUUCUUUUGCAUUGAUCUCAUUGAGCUCUUUGAGGACCAUGUGGUAUGUUUUGUUAGUUUUGGACUGUUUUCAUUUUGGAUUGUUUUAAUUCCCUUUUUUCUGUGCAGACUGUCCCAUAAAUUAUGAUUCUUACAUGUACACAGUUGCAACCGAGCUCAAGUUCCGCAUUGAUUCUGAUGGACGUUUGGCAACAGUAGGCUCUACCAUGUGGAGAGAUUUCCUGGUCAAAGCUGGUCUCAACGAAAAGGAUCAUAUUUCUUUUCUCAUCUUCAAGGAAAUGUCACGCCUAGUAGUCUGUGCUUUGAAGAUAUGAGCAUGUAUAUUUUGCGUCGACUCACAUCGGUGGAAUCAUGUGCUUCUAUAACUAAAAGUCGGAAUUUUAUUUUGUGUUUUGUGUUGUUUGUUCGCGAAAUUAACACCAGUAACGCAACUAUGAAUGCCAUGAUAUUAUUUUGCUUUUGGGAUUCCUUAGUUCUGAUUACAUUGCUUUUUGGCAGGAAGGCGCUGUGUUUUGGAAUUAACUAUGAAUUCUAACCCUAUGUUCAUAUUUGUAUCUAUUCCUUUGUUCUGUUAAAACCAGGUAUAUAUCUUUUUGGUUUGCACGAUGCCUAGAAGGGUCCUCUGGCUGUUGUUUAAACAGACUGUCAAGGGGUGAGACACUCAAUCUUUUGGACGAUCUCUGAAGAGGUACCUAUGUUCUUUCCUUUCUGAUUUUUUGAAAAUGUUUUUCUACUUGGAUCUGCAUCCUUUUUGCUUGUUGUUUCUGAUUCUGUGUUUGUUCCAUGACUAGCCGGUUGUGAACUCUGUUCAUCCAGAUUGUGUCUCUACAAUUAUGCGAACUGUUCUAGUGUUUUUUACUCAAUUGCACGUACCUUAACUAGUGCAAUCCACCUAUACAAUUAUGCAAACUGUUCUAGUGUUUUUUACUCAAUUACACUCGUUUAAUCUAGGGUCUUUUUGUGAAACGCAUUUUCCACCUGUACAAUACAUGAUUUGCACCUAGGGGUUUGAGUUCUUGUUUCCAUUUUUUUUAGAAUCUGUGUGUUCAAUUAUGCUCACACUAUGUGCAAUUCAGCAUUUUUUUGUGAUGCAAUUGCACCUGCACCAUACCUCAAUUGCACCUAGGAUUUUUCUGCUCUUUGUUUCAUUUCUGAAUCUGUGUGUUCAAUUGCACCAGCCAGGCUUUGCUUCGAUUUCUGCAGCACUUCUAGGUUGCCUGUUUUCGUUUUACCAAAACGAGCAAAUAGUGAUGUAGACUUCAAUUCGUUUGAUCUAUCAUAUCAUGCAGGAGAUGGGGGGGGGGUAGUAUCUGAAUGAUGGUUAGAUGGAUCUUGUUUUCGGCAAGGGAAGCUAGAGGCCCACUUGAAUCAGCAAUAAACAGGUACACCACUUUUUGCAUGCAUGCUUUCUGCAACUCCUGUAAUUAUAUGGGUUCUGCCACUGCAAUUACCCUGGGUUUCCCUUUCAGUUGCACUUCUGAAAUUCCUUCCUAAAUUUUGGCUACCAUUCUUGGGAUCAUCGUCACGGCUGUACAUGUGAAUUGCAUUAGGAGUCAUCAUGCAAUUAUAGGGUUCUGCCACUGCAAUUACCAUGGGUUUCUCUUUCAUUUUUCCAAUAAUCAACUUACUGUACCAUUUUUUGAGCCUUUUUUAAGUGUGUAAUUGCAAUCCAUGUUACUGUAGUAGCCUAUUGCAAUAUUUUGUCCUUUCUGCAAUUCAAGUCCCUUGUAAUUGCAAUUUCCAUGUAUUGCAACCUAAAUUUUCAUGCAACUACCAUUAAUUUGGGUUUUGUUUAAACUAAGUAGAUGUAAGCUUAAAAUUUGGUAACUGAAUGAUGGGUAGAUGCUGUCUCAAAUUUUGGCAAGGGAAGCUAGAGGCCCCGUUGAAUAACCAAUGAACAGGUAAACUUCUUACCCAACUUCUUUUUUGUCCUGCUAUGUAUGGUCACAAACAUGGUCAAUUGCACUUUUUUUUUCUGCAAUCUGGCAUAUAACCAAAGUCAUUUGCAGCUUCCCGCUCCUUGAAUUGCAUCCCCAGAUUUUUGCCCUUUUAGUUUCUGAAUUUCGGUCCAUUUUGUCCUAGGUUCAAAUUGUAGGUCAAAGGCAUUUUUGAGUUCAAUACCUGGAAUUUUGCAAUGCUGAUCUGUUUACUCAAUUUGCAUGGAAUUCACCAUGCGCAAUUGGUUUGUCAUAAGCAACACGAUUGCAUUUGUCUCUGACUAAAAUUGCAGACCUGCAUUUUGGUAUCCUGUUUUGUUGUUGAUUAUUGGUUGUUGUACAGAGGAUGUAUGCUUUUCUGGGAUGGUUUUGGGUUUGAUUUUUGACACUGACUGCGAGCCAUAGUUUGAAUUUACCCAGAGAGCAAAAAUUUGGCUAGCAACAGGGGGAAUUUGACAUGGUUAUCUGGUAUCACUGAAAGUAUUCCUUUUGAGUAGAAACGCAUCAUCGAUAAUUAUGGAUUUUAUUUCGUGUUCCACCUUAAUUCAUUUGGAGUUCCACGUUCCUUUGCCCAAUGGUUAGCGGACCACACCCAGGCUGAACGUUCUGACAUCAUCGUCGAUAGUGGUGUCGUCCAUCUUAGCGUUGAGUCCUUUUCUGAAGUUAUUGGGCUAGAAAACUCUGGAUUGGAUGUAAAUGCUGAUUUUGAUGGUUCAUAAGAUCUGAUAAUCUUAUGAUGUAUCUAUUCCAUAUUUUCUAAAAUUGCAGAUUGCACUACGCCAUGCCCUUACUUGCAGCACCCUUUUAGGAUGUUAAAUACCGUACUGAAAUUGAUUCAUUCUGGUUAUUUAUUUCCGACCCUUUGUUGUGUGCCCAUAUAGUUCAAAUUUGCACUACUAUAUACUCCUAGUUGCAACGCUGUAACAUCUGCAUUUCAAAGCUUAACGAAGUGCAAUUGAUAAUUUUUUGCUAUCUGAUAAUCAUACAUUGUAUCUGUUUCAUCUUUCUAAAAUUUCAAUUUGCACAGUGCCAUGCCCUUAAUUGCAGUACCUUUUGUAUGCAUGGACAUCAUAUUGUAAUGGUUAUGGUUAUUGCUGUAAGUCAAUUAAUCUUAGAAAAACCUACUAGUCUAAAUGCACUGUCUAUCUAAGCUUUUGUACCUGUACUAUAUAAUUUUUAGCAAAGCCUGUUCAUAUGGAUAUGGAGAAUGCUAGAUGCAGUCAGCAUCUUAGCUAUGCUUGUGUGGUUAUUCCACCCUUUUAUUCCACUGUUAGAAGGAUGUUUUUUUGCUUCUCUGGAUGUGCCCUUUUUUUCAGAUUUGUGCUCCUGCUGGAAGGAUUUUGGAGAUUCAAUUUGUUUGCCAGCACAGAAGCAAAACAGAGAAACAGAGAACAGGUUUGCACAACAAAAUGCCCACACAAUUAUCCUUUUGUGUUUUUCUACUGAUGGUUCAUAUGUUUCUCCUCUGUUGUUUGAAUCUUUGGUUUUUUUGGCGUCAAAGUUAGCUGGUUGUUUUGGUUAGAGAAGACUUGAUUCUUUUUGUUUUGUGGCUCACAGAAGAUUCGACUGGUUUCAAUCAAAAAACCAGGCGACUACUAGAAUGCCAAAAACCAGGCGACUGGUUCCUGGGCAAAAAAUAGGCGUCUGCCCAAUAGACAGACCCGAUUAUUCUUUUGAGACAUGGAUCUCUAACUUCAGAUAGCUUUUUCUUGUUUUCCUUUUCUCAACCCUUUGUAGUUUGUACAUAUUUGAUUUUUAUUUAAUAUAUGGCAGUAGGUUUUUUAACCUACUGUCUUCCCAUGAAAAAACACAUGUUUUAAUUUUAAUUGAUAUGAGUAUCUGACUUUCUUCUGAAUUACUACUUUGGCGUCUUUUAUCUUGUACUACAGUACUAGUUUAUACUCGGUACCACGUCAGCAAGUGCCCUCUUCCAAGACCCGUAAGUAAAGAAAAUGAUUCUAAAAUUGAAUGAUUGAAAUUUUGAAAUGGUCUUUGCUAGCCAGUCUGGACGCAUACGACAUGUGGAUAUAUACCCUUUGAAGUCUGAACUUGUUAGAUUAUAUCCUACAUCUCAUGAUACUGAUAAAUUGACUACAAAGGCGUCUAAACUGUGGACGACUUGACGAUGAGAACGCCAGGCAAAACAAAGCAAGAUAUCGAAUGAGGGAUCAGUUAGCCACUUAGCGCUCACCUGCCGCAAGAGCGGCGCGCGCUCGCCUCUGCCCAUGGCGUCUCCAGCGUCCAUGCCAAUCGCCAGAUGGCCGCCUGAGUUGGCGAUGAUCCUCGCAAGCAAGUGGUUUGAAGAGGAAUUCCUGAGAGCUUAGCCUUAAUCCAUCUCUGAUUGCUGGCUAGCUGCCCCUGCAUGCUUCUUUAUUUGCUCUGCUCGCCGCCGGGAGAAGAGCGAUGCUGAUAUAUAUAGCGCGCACCAGUCGACAGCUUGGCAUCGCUGCGCAGUUGGUGGAUCAACGGGGAUAUAUGAAGUGUCGGCGUCGUCGUAGCGCAAAAUAAUACUAGUGGGAUUAGCAGCAUUGUCGCGAGAACGCUUCAAAACAGAGUGGUUGAAAGUUUAACAAUCGAUAUAGGUUAGUUGACAAUUAAAUUAUAUUAAGACUUCCACCCACCGAAUACAAUACUUCGACGCACAUGCAUUCAUAUUCGUAUUUGUAUAUAUACGCAGUGGCUAAUCUAUCCGGCAGCCUCGGUGUCAAAAGAUAAAAUAUCAUCUUGGGAUCAUAUAGUUCCUCCUUCCAACAAAGAAUGUCUCAACUUUGAAUAAAUUUAAAUGCAUCUAUAUAUUAUGUCAUGUCUAGAUACAUCCAAACUUUACCAAAUUUGAGACAUUUUUUGUUCGCCGGAGGGAGUAAUACAAUUGCGUUUACAAAUAGCAGUAUCCGGUGAAUUGAGAGGCAACUCGACGGCUAUGGUCAGCACUACAAUAUACUAGACGGAUUUGUGUUGUUGGCCUGUUUCUGUUGUGAGUUUUUUUACCGUAAAUUUUGGAUUUGCCCUAAAGCGAUGGUAUCUACCCUGUAGAACCGAUGAACAGGCAUAAAAGCAUGAGAACAAUUCAAACAUUAACAAAAAUGAGAAGUCGCAUUUAGAUCCUUACCAAGUAAGUCGGCAACGUUUGGACCGGGUGUUCACCUCGGUGAACUGGGAUACCAUGUUCCCUAAUGCCUUCUUAGCUGCUUUUAGUACUACUACUUCGGACCAUGCACUGUUAAUUCUGGAUCUGCAGGCUGAUUUUCGGAUAGGCAGACGGUUUCAUUUCGAGGCGUUUUGGCCUAAAGUGGAGGGAUUCUUUCAGGUGGUCGAGGAGGCGUAGUUUGCCGAUGACCACGUUAUCGUCAAGCCCUUUCAACGGGUGGCUUCGCGGCUGCGCAGUACCGCGAAACGUUUGAGGAGUUGGAGUGGUCGUCUCAUUGGAAACACUAAGCUUCAAAUUUUGGUGGCCACGGAGGUGAUUUUACGUUUCGAUGUGGCGAUGGAGUCCCGUACUCUAUCCGUGGAGGAGCGAGGUCUCCGAGCACUUCUUAAGAAGAAACUCCUGGGCCUUUGCUUGUUGGAAAGGACUAUCGCCCGGCAGCGGUCGCGGCUCACUUGGCUUAAGGAGGGAGAUGCCAAUACCUGUUUUUUCCAACUCAAUGCUAGUCAGCGUAGAAGAAAGAACUUUGUGGCAGCCGUGGAGCAGGACGGCGUUCGGUUUUCUGAUCAUGAUUCCAUGUCCAAGAUCGCCAAUGACUUCUACCAUACGCUUUUGGGCUCGGGUGUGGAUCGUGAAUUUGGUCUAAACCUUGAUUUCUUGCAAGUGGGCUCCUUUCAGUUGUUGGGACUGGAUGAGGCCUUUUCGGAGGAGGAAAUUUGGCAGUUGGUCAAGGAGCUCCCACCCGAUAAAAGUCCUGGGCCGGAUGGGUUCACGGGCCGAUUCUUUUUCUUAAGAGAGAGGGACACUCCCUGAUUUUUGUAAAAAGAAAUCAUAGAAUUUACUAAGUUUCGGAGGCCUCCAAACAAACCAUCACACAUUAAGGCGCUGUCAAAAGAAAAGAAAAAUAGAGGAUUCUGUCCAGCUAGCAUAAAGAAUAGAAAAAAACACCCCGAUAUCCAAUUCUUUUCACAGUUGCUUAAUGCUCCAUUUUCGUAUAAUGCUAUACCUACUAAAUAUAACAUGAAGAAACGUAAUUGGGAAGGAGAUACCACCUGCAGAUUCUGUGCCGAGGAAGAAUCGAUUCGCUAUAUUUUUUCCAAUGUGCAGUUGCGUGAUAUACCUAGAGCAUAGUGGGUUUGGCGUUAGGAGUGAAAAAUAGACCUUGUUUCUCGCAUUACUUCUGGUGGUUGGCGUCCUGCACAACGAUUGGGAGAAAUCUCCAGGUGGCUGGGUUAGCGGCAUCUGUUGAGCGAUUUGGAAAUUGCAAAAUAGGGCAUGUUUUGAGAAGAAAUUGAUUCAAUCCCCAGCUGAAACCAUUCGUCUUGCAUGUGCUUUUAUGAAAUAUUGGGCAAGCUUCUGGAGAUGAUGAGCGGCUUCGAGCAGGAGCUGCAGUUUUGCAGAAGGAAGUGCUGAAGCACCACCCAGAUCAAGCGAAGAUGGAUAUGCCAAGGAUCCAGGGGCCGUGCGUGACGAAGGAGAAGAUGAUGCACAAUCGGGCAUCUGGUCGCGGGAUCGGCUACAAAAAGAUGUCACUGUGUGGGGGUGAUAUAGCUCCCUUUUUCCACAAUUCAAGGAGAAUCAACCCAAAGCAAUCACCGUCGUAGACCGUGUCGAAUGUUAUAGCUCCCCACUUCUUACCAUGUCGAAAAUUCUACAAUCUUGACACAGCUCCUAUGCAUGUACAUGAACUAUACAAAACAAGAGGUGCACAAAGAGCAUUACAAAAAUUCAAAUCCUAUAUGAAUCUGACCCGAAUUACAUCGGUUUAAAUGUUGUUUAAGUCGCAUGGAAGAUGGAGAUCAUGGGCUAUAGGUCGACUGUAGAGGGAAAAACAUUUAUGGUGUUUUCACUCUGGUGAUUGGAUCGAUAAGCUGACUUCUGUUCUGGAAUCAUGGAGAGGACUGGCACAAAGUGACGGGAACGAAGAACACUAGAACAAACUCUAGGUUGGGGAUGUCAUGUUCAUGUCGGUAAGGAUCGGCAUUGUUUGACAAACGUGCAGCCAACACAAACAAUUGGAUGAAGAUGCCAUGACAAUGAGGUAAGCUCGGUAAAGAUGAGUUUAGAGGUGCAAGGAAUUUGACGAAAACUCACCAACCGUGACGGAAUCAGGCGGUGAAGGCGGCGGAUGAAGUUGACGAAGAUGACGUCCCGGGUGGUCGUCUGUUCGGUGUGCGGGCCGAGGUGGUGGCUUCGGGAUGUCGUAGAAAUGCUCCUGACUCGAGGUUUCAUCCUUCGUGGCUCUUGUUCGCCGGAUUCAGCCGACGGCAGCAAGGAAUUUGUCAGCGACCUGGACAUGGACCACAAGAGCAAUGCUACACCUGGGCCAUCUCCACGGCCCACUCGAGCCCAUCGUUUACCUGCACGGCCUGCAGGCCGAGAGUGGCUUCGCUGAAGCCUCUAAUACUCUAGUACUUAACCAUUGUCGAACCUGGUUGCCGGCUUAGGAAAGGAAUGGCUAGGCUAGGCUUAUUUGGAACAUGAACUCGUUGUGUGGGUGGUUGGGAGGAUAAUCACAGCUACCAAAUAUUCCAAUUCGUGAUCCAAUUCGUGUUCAUCUUGUGAGAUUUAGUUCAGGUGCUCACAAUCUGGUAUCAGAGCCGUACCAUCCUGGAUUUUCCCCACCACCGUUUCCACACCCGAUUCAAGGAUCGUCAGUGCGCGGCCGCCAUGGAUAGCCUCGAUCCGGAGGCGCGGCUUAUCUACGAUCUCCUCAAGGAAGGCCUCACGGCGGAUCAAGAGAAACGCGCUCGUGAGCAGCAAGACUCGACCGUGAUCGCCGUCCGCAAGAUGUUCGAUGAAAAUACUGCAAGGAUGGACGCCAUCGUCGCCAAAAUCGACGGCGUCCGCGAUGAAUUCAGCACCGAGCUUGCUCAGAUUCGUCUGGAUCUGGACAAGGGAGGAAGAGGUGACCACGACACGGGCGCUACGGGCAGCGUCAAGGGACACGGCUUCUACAAGCCUCCUCCACUCCGAGGUGAGCGCCCCAGUGCCAGUACUCUACACUCUUCUUCGUCCCAACCUACUUCGCCUCACCAUGAACACCUUGACGUUGUUACCUUGGACCUUGCGUGGAAUUGCCGCGUUUCGAUGGCACUAACCCGCAUCUCUAGCAAACCCGGUGUGAGGAUUACUUCCAACUGUGGGGCACCCCGAUGGCACUCUGGAUUCCUUAUGCUUCUGCUCAGUUCGUGGAUGCCGCCGCCCGUUGGUUAGAAUCGUUCCAGCGUCGGUUUCCUAGAGCUACAUGGCCAGAAUUUUGUCAGGUGUUACAUGCCCGAUUCAGUCGUAAUCAGCAUCAGAACUUGAUUAGGCAGCUAUUCCAUAUUUCUCAGACAUCUACGGUGCUUGAUUAUGUUGAUCGAUUCUCUGAGUUAUAUGACCAGUUGCCUGCUUAUGAGAACAUUCCAGAUCCACUGCACUAUCUGACUCGGUUUUUAGAUGGUUUGCACCUACCUGUGCGUAUGGCUGUUUCUCUUCAGAAACCUCAUGAUUUAGACGCUCCUUAUGAACUUGCUAUAUUGCAUGAAGAAUUGGCUGGUACUUCUUCUUCACCACCUACCCUAGACAGUACUCCAUCCCAUCGACGGCCUUUGCCUCUUCCGUUACCGCCGCCGCCGCCGCCGCCGCCAGCAUAGCGCACCAAACUCCAUGAUGAACGUCGCACAAUUGACGAUAAGUGGAUUGCUCUGAGGAAUUAUCAAAAGGCGAAGGGUUUGUGCUUCAUUUGUGGAGAGCGAUGGUCUAAGGAUCAUCAAUGCAAACCAAAUGUUCAGUUACAUUUUGUUCAAGAACUAAUUGACCACUUGCAGUUGGGACUGGAUCAGUCUUCUGAAUACCCGGCAUCUUCUGAUCAGGAGCAAGUGUACUCUCUUUCAUCUGCUGCUGUAGGGCAUGCUACUUCUGCAACUACCAUGCAGCUCACCCUUCAGAUCCAAGGCAGGAUGUUGGUAUUCUUAGUGGAUUCUGGCAGUACACAUACAUUCUUAGAUGCCACUCAUAUUCUGGGCCUACAAAGUGUUCAGAAACUCAAGCCUAUUACUGUCAAGGUCGCCGGUGGUGGUACACUCAAUUGUCAGUACAUCUUGCCUCAUUGUCAGUGGCCCUGCAAUGAUCAUCAGUUUAUCAGUGAUAUCAGAAUCUUACCCUUGGGAGCUUAUGAUGGUAUAUUGGGUCUUGAUUGGUUGACCAAGCAUAGCCCAAUGCAAGUAGAUUGGUCUCAGCGUUGGAUGUCCUUUUAUAGGCAGCAAGAAUUAGUCACAUUGCAUGGUAGUCUCCCUGAUGACUGUCCUAUUACUUUGGUUACUAUAGCAUCUCUACUUCCUGUGAAUCAACCAGAAGUUCCUCCUGCUAUGCAAAGUAUUUUAGAUCAGUAUCCUUCAGUUUUUUCUGCUCCUGUUGGUUUACCACCCAGAAGAAGCUAUGACCAUUGCAUUCCACUAAUUCCUGGCGCCAGACCAGUGACUAUCAGGCCUUACAGAGUAGCCCCACAUCUCAAAACUGAGAUUGAAACUCAAGUAUCUGAAUUGCUUCAGCAUGGCAUGAUCAGGCAUAGCAAUAGUGCUUUCUCUUCUCCAGUUAUUUUAGUUAAGAAGAAAGAUAAAACCUGGAGAAUGGUCGUGGACUAUAGGCAUUUGAAUGCUAUUACCAUUAAAGGGAAGUAUCCUUUACCUGUCAUAGAUGAGUUGUUAGAUGAAUUGUCAGGAGCCUGUUGGUUUUCUAAACUAGACCUUAAAGCUGGGUAUCACCAGAUUAGAUUGGCCCCGGGAGAGGAGUACAAAACAGCAUUUCAAGCUCAUAAUGGGCAUUUUGAGUUCACAGUCAUGGCAUUUGGUCUUACAGGAGCUCCUGGUACAUUUCAAGGAGCUAUGAACACUUCAUUGGCACCAGUUCUGAGGAAAUUUGCUUUAGUGUUCUUUGAUGAUAUCCUCAUCUACAGCAAAACCUUUGAGGAUCACUUAGUUCAUGUUGCUCAAGUUCUUGACAUCCUGGCUAAACAUCAGUGGAAGGUCAAGUUAUCCAAAUGUGCCUUUGCUCAGCAGCGCAUUGCUUAUUUAGGCCAUGUUAUUAGUGGUGACGGGGUAGCAACUUAUGAUAGUAAAAUUAGUACAAUCCGAGACUGGCCUGUUCCCGUUAAUGUUAAGGAGGUCAGGGGAUUUUUGGGCAUCACAAGGUAUUAUAGAAAAUUCAUUCGCCAUUAUGGCUUGAUUAGUAAGCCCUUGACUAAUUUACUCAAGAAAGGGCACGUGUUUGCUUGGACUGGGGAUACUAAAACAGCAUUUCUCACAUUGAAGCAAGCCCUUAUCACAGCUCCUGUCUUAGCUCUCCCUGAUUUUUCUAAGCAAUUUGUCAUUGAGACUGAUGCUUGUGAUGUGGGUAUUGGUGCAGUCUUAAUGCAAGAGGGGCAUCCUUUGGCCUUUGUGAGUAAAGGCUUGGGCCCAGGUAUCAAUCCUUGUCAGUUUAUGAAAAGGAGUAUUUGGCCAUCUUACUUGCUGUUGAGCAUUGGAGAUCUUAUUUGCAUGUAGGUGAAUUUUUGAUUCGCACUGAUCAAAAGAGUUUAGCUCAUCUGGAAGAUCAAAGAUUGCAUACUGAGUGGCAAUAGAAAGCUUUGACAAAAUUGAUGGGCCUCUCUUAUAAGAUACAGUACAAAAAGGGUAGUGCCAAUGCUGCUGCUGAUGCUUUGUCCAGGAAACCAAAUGAGGUUCAUCAUGUGUUGGUUGUUUCUUCUUUACAGCCUAGUUGGCUCUCUAAGGUAGUUUCUAGUUAUACAUCUGAUCCUAAAGCUCAACAACUUCUGCAGCAAUUGUCAAUUUCUCCUGAUUCUCAUCCUGCUUUUAAAUUGAAGAAUGGCUUGUUGCUUUAUAAGAACAGACUGUGGUUAGGACAUGAUAUUGGUCUGCAUUCUAAGGUUUUUCAGGCAUUUCAUAGUAGCCCAGUUGGCGGCCACUCUGGUUUUCCUGUAACCUAUAGAAGAAUUAAAUCCUUGUUUUCUUGGAUUGGCAUGAAGGCUUUUGUUAAGGAUCAAGUUCAAGGCUGUCAGAUCUGUCAACAAGCUAAACCUGAAAGAAUUCCUUAUCCGGUUUGCUUUCUCCUAUGCCAAUUCCUACUUCAGCUUGGGAAAUGAUUUCCAUGGAUUUUAUAAAUGGUUUGCCUGCAUCAGGCCAUUAUAACAGUAUCUUAGUUGUUAUUGACAAGUAUACUAAAUAUGGGCACUUCAUUCCCAUGCAUCACCCCUUUACUGCACAGAAAGUAGCUGAAGCUUUUGUGGAUAAUGUCUAUAAAUUGCAUGGUUUGCCCCAACACUUUAUUUCUGACAGAGAUCCUAUUUUCACUAGUCACUUUUGACAGUCUUUAGCUAAAUUGACAGGUUCUGCCUUGAGAAUGAGCUCUGCCUAUCACCCUGAAACGGAUGGUCAAACUGAGCGUGUGAAUCAACAAGUUGAGUGUUUCUCGCGUUGUUUCAUUAGUGCUCAUCCUACUAAGUGGUCCAAAUGGCUCUCGUCGUGUGAAUUCUGGUAUAACACUAACUGGCAUUCAUCUCUGAACAAGACUCCUUUUGAGGUAUUAUAUGGCCAGCAUCCUACUUAUUUUGGCCUCUCAGCUAAUUCUGCGGUUGCUCGAGUGGAUGUUCAACAGUGGCUUGACCAGCGCAAGGUGAUUCUAGCUUCUGUCCGCCAGCAUUUGCUUCGUGCCAGUCAGCGCAUGAAGCUUCAGGCCGACAAAAAAUGUACUGAACGCAGCUUUCAAGUGGGUGAUAUGGUCUUCUUAAAGUUGCAACCUUAUGUGCAAACUUCAGUGGUUCAUCGCUCCAAUCAUAAACUGGCAUUUCGUUUUUAUGGGCCUUAUCAAGUUUUGGAGAAGAUUGGUACUGUCACUUAUCGCUUGGCGUUACCUGCUACCAGCAGGAUACAUCCUAUUUUCCAUGUCUCCCAAUUGAAGCAAUGCUUAUCUCCAAAGCAUCAGGUACAAUCUGCCUUGCCUACUGAUUCGGCUUCCUUGCAAAUUCCAGUUUGUGUAUUGCAGCGUCGUUUGUCCCAACGUGGUUCUCAUUUAGUACUCCAAGGCCUGAUUCGUUGGAGUGGUGUACCGGAGUCUGAAGCCACUUGGGAGGAUCUGGACUCACUUCGUCAAGAGUUUCCAGCGCCGGGGCAAGCCGCUUCUGAAGAAGGAGGGGGUGUCAGCGACCUGGACAUGGACCACAAGAGCAAUGCUACACCUGGGCCGUCUCCACGGCCCACUCGAGCCCAUCGUUUACCUGCACGUGCAGGCCGAGGGUGGUUUCGCUGAGGCCUGUAAUACUCUAAUACUUGACCAUUGUCGAACCUGGUUGCCGGCUUAGGAAAGGAAAGGAAUGGCUAGGCUAGGCUUAUCUGGAACAUGAACUCGCUGUGUGGGUGGUUGAGAGGAUAAUCACAGCUACCAAAUAUUCCAAUUCGUGAUCCAAUUCGUGUUCACCUUGUGAGAUUUAGUUCAGGUGCUCACAGAAUUUGAUGUGGAUAAUAUGAGUUUACAUGCGCAAGGAAUUUGAGAAGGGAGCUAACUCACGACCUCACCUUCCAAAAUGGCGGCGGCGGUAGGCUGAGGAGACGGCAAUGGACUGUACAGGAGGUUUUCUGUCGAAUUAGAAAAUGGGGUUCGGGAGAGAAGAGCCAAAGGCUCCAUCCGACAUGCUCGGGAUCUGGUUCCGCAGACUGGAGAGGGGGAUCGGGAGGUGGAGGCCAACGGCCGACAUUCGGAGCGUCCGUCCCUUUGAGAGAUUAAGAGACGAAACCGACAAUUGAAAGAAAGGCUGAAUCGGAUCAUGGGGUGACGAGGAUUAACUUGGCAAGUUCGGUUUUGAGAGAAACGGUCAAGAACAAUGAUUCGAGGCGGCGGCGGCGUGCGUUCGUGCUAGAGCAUAGGAGGAAGUCGAUGCGAAAGAUGGACGGACGAGCGCACGGGUGGGCUAGGCAGCUUGGUCGAGACUCCGGAGAGUAGUUGGGUGGUGCGGCCCAGGAAGAGAAAGAAAAAAGAACUGAAGAGAGAAUUGCAGAAGAUGGGCUGGUUGGGGCUGGCAGCAGGGCAGUUGGCUAGAUGGGCUAAGGCAUGCUGGAGGCUGGGCUGGGAAAGAGAGAGAUUGUGCCAGGCCCAGUCCGGAGGCAGACAAGGGACUUGGAAGAAACAAUCUUCGUCGUCGGAGUAAUUGAUAGACGUGUCUCAAUUAAAUUUUUUCUAUGUCAUUUCAUUUUACCAUUUGGAUUAGAGAAAAUAGGUACAGAGCUUUACUUGCCCACUACUUCCACCCCAUUGACCAAGGACAAGACAACCUCACAACAACCGACUUUGGCGUUGGCAAUUCCCACACAUUUGCCCAACCACAUAUCCCAUGGGGCUCCGCACCGUCUGGUUGCUGGUUGCUGUAUCCAAACACCAACCAACCACCUCUCAGACUCUCUUAACCAAAGAAACAAGCGAACCCCCCAAAGCCAAAGACGCAUCAAGCACGCACCACAUUCCCCAUCGACCCAAAAGGAAAUCAGGCAGGCGCUAGCGCAACCGAGAAGACGAUGAAGAGGGAAGGAUUCCAGCACGGCGCGGUCAGGGUGAACCGCAGCAAGCUGCUGCGGAUCGCCGAUGGGGAGGCUGCUAAGGCCGCGGCCGCGGCGGAGAUCGGCGUGUACGCCAGGGCGCCGUCGAAGCCGACCAACGCGUCCAGGAGCACGGGCAAGUGCCGGCGGCCGCGGUGCGUCGGGUGCCACGAGCACCCGGUGACCAAGGCCCGGGACAAGGCCAAGGGCGCGCACAAGCUGCGGGCCUGCGACGUAGCGCUCAACCACCGCCUCGUGUCCUGGCGCGUCGUCGACGGCGCCGGGGCAUCCGCGGCCGGCACCGGCAUCCCGGACUACAAGGGUGCCUCGGCGUCGGCCGUGCUCGCUUACAUGGCCGGCGGCAACAGCUGGCACGAGGAGGAGGAGGACGACGGCGCCGAUCUUGAAGGCAACCCGCCGGCGGAAGGAGGGCUCUCCGAUCUGUACGACCUCAUCGUCGGCAGGAUCCCUGCGCCGGACGGCCUAGAAUCUGACAUGGCGCAUGCCAAUAACAUAGAAGUAGCAGACAGUGAUGAUGCAAUUGAGGAGCAGGAGCAAGAUGAUACCACCAAUGAUGAUGAUGAUGAUGAUGAGGAGGAGGAGGAGGAGGGGGAGAUGGAUUUCUGCAUGGUGGGCAUCACAAUCGCUUUGGACUUCUCCGAUGGGGAGGAAGACUGGAUCGUGGUGGAGGAGAUCCCAUCGACCUGAUCCGAUCUGAUUAAUUUGCAAAUAAGACAGGUCAGAUGCAUCCCUCCUGCGUUGUAUAAUUUCCAUCUGCGGGUGGUGUGUAUAUACUGUUCAUCUGUUCAUCCUCCUGUUAAUUGUGUCAUUUGUGUAUAUGGUGACUAGCUAAUUUGUCGUGAACAUGGAUUAUUCAUGAUUCAAACCUCAAUUUACCAGUGUGAAUAAAAUGGAGAAGGGAUUCUUUUCCAGAUCUUGUUUCUUUCUCUUUGAUUGGAUCUUCAUGUACCUAUAUGGAUCUAUCUUUCCAAUACGCUCUUGAAUCUGAUUUAUAGUACAGUAGGAAGUAUACUAGCUCGACGUUUUUGGAUUUCCACAGGGACGUGAACUCCAUAGUAUCUGUUUCUAUAACAGCUUGAGAAAUCCUCCAGUUUUUUAUCAAUCCCUUCUGAAGUAGCCUGACCCGUCCUGAAACUUGGUCCGGGAAAUCAGGUAGAUUCAGUUAUUGUUGUACUGUUUUAUUGUGAAGGGCAAGAGGUGCAGGAGAAAAAAGGAGGGAUGUUUCCCCCAAUUAUUUCCUUGUUCUUGUGCGAAGUCGUGACAAUUUUUUUUAGUUCUGCUCCCUUCUGAAAGUGUUUCUGUCUGGUACGGUAUGAAGUCUCAUCGGCACAGAUCGUACCUUCUGAUACUCCUGCUUCCUGUGUUCCAAAAACAUCUGCAUACUGUGUACCGUACCUUUCCUCGUUCCGAAGCAUUGAUCCACUAAGUUUAUCACUUCUGCAACCUCUCAGUUUCUUGAAGUCGUAAUAAAUGAAAAAGAAAGAAACAAUAAAUGGGCUUCAUCUUCAUGUUAUAGUAUCAGUUUCUGCAUGUUUAGCAAUAUGGCUUGGAGUACCAUAUUUUCAGCCGAUACAUAGUCAUUGUCAUCAUAUCAUUUGAUGGCUGUCCUUCAACGGUUCAAAUGAAACGCUCCCUUUUAAGUAAUACGAUUGACGAAGGUGUACGUAACAUCUUAUAUUGGUAUUGAUUGAGACCUUCAUCCGUGCGGAUUAACAAAAGAAAAGGUUGCGCUGUCACGUGUACCAGCAACUACUCCCUCCUUCCCAUAUUAAGUGACUUAGAUUUGCUCAAAUAUGGAUGUAUUUAUGUCUAAAAAGCAUCUAGAUAAAAGUCAAUUAAUAUGGGACGGAGAGAUGUAUCUAUGCCUAACAAGUUUCUGCUACAGUUGACUUAUUAAAGGAGCAUUUGAUUUGAUCAAAUUUUUGACCAAGAUUACUUCAUUAACACGUGAUUUAUGUGACCCAAUGAUAACCAUAAUUAAGCAUUGUAUAUGAAUAUGAUGAUAUCAAUUUAAAUCACGUAAAUUGUUUGUCAAUAAUUAUUGGAGAAACACUCAGUCAAAACAAAUAAAAUAAGUCUUCUAGAGUGCGAGGGAGGCAGUACAAAGAAAAUAGAUUUGAAUAAAUAGUUACACGUCGUACCUAAAAGAAUUAGACUGUUGCCCCAAAAAAAUUAGACUAAAUAGUUACUAGUUGUAUCGAGCUUAGUUAAUGCUCCCUCGUCCGGAAAUACAUGAGAAUCUAGACAAAAUAAGUGAUUCAAAUUUAUCAAUCUAGACAAAUCCGAGUCACUUAUUUUCGGACGGAACAAGUACAAUAUGCUGAUUGGUUUGCUACUGCUAGUUAAAUGUGGACGUUGCUAUUGAACUAUAAAUAUGUAUUGAGUGUCUUUAAAUACGUCCGCCCUUGAAAAUCAUAUUUUUAUGAUACAUACUUUCUCCGUUUCAUAAAGAUUGGCGUGGCCUUGAGCUAGCUCUAGUUUAAAACCACGCAAUAUUUAUAUAACAUAGGAAGUAACAUUUUUUUCUCAAAAUAUAGUAUAUCUGAUGAACUAUAAUCAGAAAUUAUUAUACAUAUCCAUCCUAAACAGUGGAUAAUUUUUACUAUUUCUUAAUUUGCAGUUGUGUCCUGGUAUGUUAUACGCUCGUACUUUGUCCCACCCCCGUGAAAAAAAAGCAUCGUCGAAAAAACCGGUUCCCACCUGCCUCCUCCCACCUUCACGCAUGUGCAGAAUCCCGCGAUUAGCUCCACCUUCCUUUCCAUCAGCAUCGAUCCCAUCUGGACGACGCCUCCAUCCCCUUCCUCACGAUCCGCAUCGUCCUCCCUCCCUCCACCGCUCCCUUCCAGCGCCGCAGACUUCCCUGCAACGCCCCCUCCUCCUCAUCCGUGCUGCUGCCCCAUUCGUCCCUCCGCCUUCCUCGCGAGGACGCGCCGGCGUUGCCGCCUCCCUCCCUCCCUUCGCCUUCCUCGCGAUGACGCGCCGCCGCCGCCUGCCUCUUCCUCCCUGCCUCCUCCUGAUCCGCAGCGCUGCCUCCCUCCCGCUUCCUCGCAGGCCCAGCCGGCUCGAAUCAAAACCGAACCGAUCUGGGUCCUCCCCGCAUUCGCAUCCGCCUGCCUGCAUCGCCGCCGCUGACGACGCCUGCUGUUAUCCCGCAACGCCUCCCUUGCAGCCGCUGCCACCUGCAGCAGCAUAGAAGGAAAAAUCACACGAAACAGACCCUCGCCCCGAUCUGUCUGCCCUCACCCUCGAUCCCUCGAAUCAAUCCCCUCCCUCGGCACGGCCGUCCUCCCCUCCCCUGACGCGACCGAAGGCCCUCAGCAGCAGCAGGACGAUGAAGCCCCUCCCCCC